rfam:Triticum aestivum genome assembly, contig: Triticum_aestivum_CS42_TGACv1_scaffold_002522_1AL
UAAGUACUCCCUCCGUCCGGAAAUACUUGUCAUCAAAAUGAAUAAAAGAAGAUGCAUCUAGACGUAUUUUAGUUUUAGAUACAUCUCUUUUUAUCCAUUUUGAUGACAAGUAUUUUCGGACGGAGGGAGUACAUG